CCACCCUGAACACACCUGAUCUCGUCUGAUCUCUGAAGCUAAGCAGGGCUGGGCCUGGUUAGUACUUGGAUGGGAGACC
rnacentral:rRNA from 1 species